rnacentral:rRNA from 1 species
AUUGAACGCUGGCGGUAUGCUUAAGACAUGCAAGUCGAACGGUAACAGACCUUCGGGUGCUGACGAGUGGCGGACGGGUGAGUAACACGUGGGAAUCUACCUUGUAGUGGGGGAUAAGCCAGGGAAACUUGGACUAAUACCGCAUACGCCCUAAGGGGGAAAGGAGCAAUUCGCUAUAAGAUGAGCCCGCGUCUGAUUAGCUAGUUGGUGAGGUAAAGGCUCACCAAGGCGACGAUCAGUAGCUGGUCUGAGAGGAUGACCAGCCACAUUGGGACUGAGACACGGCCCAGACUCCUACGGGAGGCAGCAGUCGGGAAUAUUGGACAAUGGGGGCAACCCUGAUCCAGCAAUACCGCGUGUGUGAAGAAGGCCUGCGGGUUGUAAAGCACUUUUAGUAGGGAAGAUAAUGACGUUACCUACAGAAAAAGCACCGGCUAACUCCGUG